GCCCUUCGGGGUGGAUUAGUGGCGAACGGGUGAGUAACACGUGGGCAAUCUGCCCUUCACUCUGGGACAAGCCCUGGAAACGGGGUCUAAUACCGGAUAAUACUCCUGCCUGCAUGGGUGGGGGUUGAAAGCUCCGGCGGUGAAGGAUGAGCCCGCGGCCUAUCAGCUUGUUGGUGGGGUAAUGGCCCACCAAGGCGACGACGGGUAGCCGGCCUGAGAGGGCGACCGGCCACACUGGGACUGAGACACGGCCCAGACUCCUACGGGAGGCAGCAGUGGGGAAUAUUGCACAAUGGGCGAAAGCCUGAUGCAGCGACGCCGCGUGAGGGAUGACGGCCUUCGGGUUGUAAACCUCUUUCAGCAGGGAAGAAGCGAAAGUGACGGUACCUGCAGAAGAAGCGCCGGCUAACUACGUGCCAGCAGCCGCGGUAAUACGUAGGGCGCAAGCGUUGUCCGGAAUUAUUGGGCGUAAAGAGCUCGUAGGCGGCUUGUCACGUCGGAUGUGAAAGCCCGAGGCUUAACCUCGGGUCUGCAUUCGAUACGGGCUAGCUAGAGUGUGGUAGGGGAGAUCGGAAUUCCUGGUGUAGCGGUGAAAUGCGCAGAUAUCAGGAGGAACACCGGUGGCGAAGGCGGAUCUCUGGGCCAUUACUGACGCUGAGGAGCGAAAGCGUGGGGAGCGAACAGGAUUAGAUACCCUGGUAGUCCACGCCGUAAACGUUGGGAACUAGGUGUUGGCGACAUUCCACGUCGUCGGUGCCGCAGCUAACGCAUUAAGUUCCCCGCCUGGGGAG
rnacentral:rRNA from 1 species